ensembl:lncRNA
GGCCUGUUAGGUCCUACCGGUUAGAGGAACAAUUUGUCUCCUGUUAGCAAAAGAUCUGGGAAAGCUUUCCUCCUGCAAGGAGCAGAAACAUUCACUGGCUUGUUUCAGUCAGUGUGAAAGCCAGGAGCAGAAUGGAGACAACCUGGUUCCCACCUCUGAGACAGAAUAUAUUUCUCUGCAUUUUUAACUGUCCUUACCUUGGCUGCUUUGGAUUCUCUGAAUUUCUGAGUUGAAAAGAAAUCUAUUAACCAAACAGUCUGGAACAGCCAGUCAUAAAGUACUGAAGACCAAAUUCACCAACAUUAUAUUUGAGGAUGGAACUCAGACCAGUUUGGACUCACAAUUGGAUGCGUAAGGCCACAUUCUUGUAUUCAGGAACGCCUCUGUAACAGAAAGGGCUGGAGAUGUUCUUUCUCUCUCUUGUGCUGCAUUGAAGAGCCUAUAAAGGUCAGGAAGCAAUAGAAAAUACAGAUGUGCAUCCUGCUGAGUGGACAAGAGAAUGAAAUAAGCCUUUCCCUGCUUCCAGGAUGAGUGUUCGAACUGUAUCCCCAGCAGAAAUUGCUCAUCUAGAUGUCAUAAGAUAAGAUAGAUGGAAUGAUUUUCAGCAUUGUUCAUGUACCUUGGACAUGGAAGGUGGGCUUCAAGGUGAAAGUAUAUCUGCUCAGUAUCUUCUCAUCUGCAAGGCUGACAUGUGCCACUUGGAGGACAAAAGUGACUUCAGGAAGGACUGACAGCUAAACACUAAUUUUCAAAAAUCAAAGCCUUAAGCCUGCAUGCCAUAUUCUUAUGCUGACAAGUCACUGACAGAGUAUCAAGAAAUGGAGGCCACAAGAAACCUACCAAAUUCCCUGCAGAAGAUACCUGGGACAUAAUCGGAAUGAGAGAUGAUAUACCCUGGAGCUGCUGGUCAUGCAGACUGUGAAAACUUUGUUUUGUGCUCUGAGAGGACCCACUGUUGUGACUUAAAUUGAAGAGGUGGGAAUAAACUUCUCAAGGAGGCACCCGGAUCAUCACUCACAUUUCAGCACAUGUAGGAAGAAGUGGAGGAAACAGUUACCAGAGAUAUCUGAGUAAUGGUGUUAAUCACACAGACUAAAGAGGUUGAAAGAAAGAUUCAGCACAUCCAGAACUGCAAAGUGAGCUGCAGCAGGGAACAUCAGCAAGGACCAUAU